rnacentral:rRNA from 1 species
GACGAACGCUGGCGGCGUGCCUAAUACAUGCAAGUAGAACGCUGAAGAGAGGAGCUUGCUCUUCUUGGAUGAGUUGCGAACGGGUGAGUAACGCGUAGGUAACCUGCCUUGUAGCGGGGGAUAACUAUUGGAAACGAUAGCUAAUACCGCAUAACAAUGGAUGACACAUGUCAUUUAUUUGAAAGGGGCAAUUGCUCCACUACAAGAUGGACCUGCGUUGUAUUAGCUAGUAGGUGAGGUAACGGCUCACCUAGGCGACGAUACAUAGCCGACCUGAGAGGGUGAUCGGCCACACUGGGACUGAGACACGGCCCAGACUCCUACGGGAGGCAGCAGUAGGGAAUCUUCGGCAAUGGGGGCAACCCUGACCGAGCAACGCCGCGUGAGUGAAGAAGGUUUUCGGAUCGUAAAGCUCUGUUGUAAGUCAAGAACGAGUGUGAGAGUGGAAAGUUCACACUGUGACGGUAGCUUACCAGAAAGGGACGGCUAACUACGUGCCAGCAGCCGCGGUAAUACGUAGGUCCCGAGCGUUGUCCGGAUUUAUUGGGCGUAAAGCGAGCGCAGGCGGUUUGAUAAGUCUGAAGUUAAAGGCUGUGGCUCAACCAUAGUUCGCUUUGGAAACUGUCAAACUUGAGUGCAGAAGGGGAGAGUGGAAUUCCAUGUGUAGCGGUGAAAUGCGUAGAUAUAUGGAGGAACACCGGUGGCGAAAGCGGCUCUCUGGUCUGUAACUGACGCUGAGGCUCGAAAGCGUGGGGAGCGAACAGGAUUGGAUACCCUGGUAGUCCACGCCGUAAACGAUGAGUGCUAGGUGUUGGAUCCUUUCCGGGAUUCAGUGCCGCAGCUAACGCAUUAAGCACUCCGCCUGGGGAGUACGACCGCAAGGUUGAAACUCAAAGGAAUUGACGGGGGCCCGCACAAGCGGUGGAGCAUGUGGUUUAAUUCGAAGCAACGCGAAGAACCUUACCAGGUCUUGACAUCCCGAUGCUAUUUCUAGAGAUAGAAAGUUACUUCGGUACAUCGGUGACAGGUGGUGCAUGGUUGUCGUCAGCUCGUGUCGUGAGAUGUUGGGUUAAGUCCCGCAACGAGCGCAACCCCUAUUGUUAGUUGCCAUCAUUCAGUUGGGCACUCUAGCGAGACUGCCGGUAAUAAACCGGAGGAAGGUGGGGAUGACGUCAAAUCAUCAUGCCCCUUAUGACCUGGGCUACACACGUGCUACAAUGGUUGGUACAACGAGUUGCGAGUCGGUGACGGCAAGCUAAUCUCUUAAAGCCAAUCUCAGUUCGGAUUGUAGGCUGCAACUCGCCUACAUGAAGUCGGAAUCGCUAGUAAUCGCGGAUCAGCACGCCGCGGUGAAUACGUUCCCGGGCCU